AUUUUCAAAACAAUGCAGAAAUGUUACUUGCCCUUUCACUCCUAUUCCCUUUUGAUGUAUAGGAUAGAUUUCCAGAUUUCUGCCUAGGGGUCUCUAUCCCUACAGGGCUAUAGGCUUUUCUAUUACAUGGAGACUUAGGUUAUGGAACCCCAAGACAUGAGCUCACUUCCUUGGCAACAUCUCCAAACAGAACUUGGAACCCUUGUUAAUGGGUGUCACAACCUAGUAACAGCCAUCUCCCAAACUCACUUGGCCAGAGACGGUCAACAGCAAACAUGCUGAGCUGCUUCUCCACUUCGAGAGGCUGCAGCCUCAGGACCCCAGGUAGAGAAAGUAUCUGUGAAAGAUUAAGAAGAUGGCUGACUCCAUCCAGACACUGCAGGCCAUGCUGCAGCAGCCACAUGAUUGCCACAGUCACCCCAGUGAAGGUCUCCCCAAGAGUGACCACCAGUGACCUACCAAAAUCAAGGUGAGCCUAGGGGACAGCAAGGUUCACAGAUGAGCAGCAGAAAGAAGAAAACAGAAGAGAAGAUCCUGAUCCAGCACCACUGGUUGAGUGCCCAUAUUCUGGGUCCUAUCCUUUGGAUUUGAGUUCUGGCUUCCUCAGACUGCAGGAACAACUUUGGGCAAAAAUCUUCACCUAUUUGAGCCUCA
rnacentral:lncRNA from 1 species